CCUACGGGUGGCAGCAGUGGGGAAUAUUGCACAAUGGGGGAAACCCUGAUGCAGCGACGCCGCGUGAGCGAGGAAGUAUUUCGGUAUGUAAAGCUCUAUCAGCAGGGACGAAAAAAGACGGUACCUGACUAAGAUGCCUCGACUAACUCCGUGCCAGCAGCCGCGGUAAUACGGAGGGGGCAAGCGUUAUCCGGAUUUACUGGGUGUAAAGGGAGCGUAGGCGGUAAGGCAAGUCAGAAGUGAAAGGGCAGGGCUCAACCCUGUAAAUGCUUUUGAAACUGGGGUGCUAGAGUGCAGGAGAGGUGAGUGGAAUUCCUGGUGUAGCGGUGAAAUGCGUAGAUAUUAGGAGGAACACCAGUGGCGAAGGCGGCUUACUGGACUGUAACUGACGUUGAGGCUCGAAAGCGUGGGGAGCAAACAGGAUUAGAUACCCCUGUAGUC
rnacentral:rRNA from 1 species